rnacentral:rRNA from 1 species
CGGAGGAUCCGAGCGUUAUCCGGAUUUAUUGGGUUUAAAGGGUGCGUAGGCGGAAAUGUAAGUCAGUGGUGAAAUCCUGCAGCUUAACUGUAGAAUAGCCGUUGAAACUGUGUUUCUUGAGUACAUUUGAGGUAGGCGGAAUGUGGUGUGUAGCGGUGAAAUGCAUAGAUAUACCACAGAACACCGAUUGCGAAGGCAGCUUACUAAACUGUCACUGACGCUGAUGCACGAAAGCGUGGGUAUCAAACAGGAUUAGA